CCUACGGGGGGCAGCAGUGGGGAAUAUUGCACAAUGGGGGAAACCCUGAUGCAGCGACGCCGCGUGAGUGAAGAAGUAUUUCGGUAUGUAAAGCUCUAUCAGCAGGGAAGAAAAUGACGGUACCUGAUGAAGAAGCCCCGGCUAACUACGUGCCAGCAGCCGCGGUAAUACGUAGGGGGCAAGCGUUAUCCGGAUUUACUGGGUGUAAAGGGAGCGUAGACGGCAGCACAAGUCUGGAGUGAAAUGCCGGGGCUUAACCCCGGAACUGCUUUGGAAACUGUGCAGCUAGAGUGCAGGAGAGGUAAGUGGAAUUCCUAGUGUAGCGGUGAAAUGCGUAGAUAUUAGGAGGAACACCAGUGGCGAAGGCGGCUUACUGAACUGUAACUGACGUUGAGGCUCGAAAGCGUGGGGAGCAAACAGGAUUAGAUACCCCAGUAGUC
rnacentral:rRNA from 1 species